GCCAAGAGCCCCCGCCAGCUGGAGGUGUCGCUGGCGCCUGCAUCCUCGGCAGCUGGCCUCCGGCUCACCAGAAUACCUGGGGCCUGCAGUAAUGGCCUUCCUCCCUCCUGUCCCUGGGCCAAGGCCUGGGAGGCGGCUCUGUUUGGGCGGCUGUCUCGCUGGGCCAUGAGUGCGGCUUUGGAGUAAGGCAGCAGCACUGCAGGCAGGGAGGAAACCGCAGCCGGACGGCAGAGCCUCCCGCGUCAGCCCGGGAACCCUGCGGAUCUAACAUGCAAACAACAAGCUUUGUGUCCCGGCAGCGACUCUCACUGGGACGCCUGCAUCUCUUCCUCUGCAUCCCAGGUGCGACUCCCCAGUCCCUCCGCCCUCAGGAUGCCCUGGGGCAGCUGGGGAGCUCCUGGCCCAAGGAUGCCAGUGCAGAGGCAGAGAAUAAGUGAAAUCAGAGUUAAGGUUUAGUUUAAAUGUGACGAAGGGACUUGAGACAAGUAGUAAUUUAUUGGGAUUUCUUCUCCCUUCUCCUGGGUCUGAAAACCACAUUCCUCUUUUUUUUUUUUUUUUUUAUAGUUUUUUUUUUUGCGUUAUCCCUAGUCUCAGUCAGCACUGCGGUGCCUGCAAUGCACAGAAAAGUAUUUUUCCAAACUGAAACUCUGAAAUAGAAGCAGCAGUAAAAACAGUUCCCAGAUUUAUGACCAUAUUCCAACCCCCCCCCACCCCCGAUAUUUCUCUUCCUUCCAAUUGACUGGGGUUUGGGGAAAAGCUGUCCAGUGUGUGGAGGGGUGGGAGCUCCUCCUCUUGUGCCCUCCUCCUGCCGCCCGGGGAGCCCCACCUGGCCGUGGCCCCUGCCCCUCGCCGUGGGUGGGCGCCCGGGAGGGGUUCAGGUCCCCAGAGUCCCACCCUCACCAUGUGAACAGCUGCAUUGGCAAUGCUGAGU
rnacentral:lncRNA from 1 species